rnacentral:rRNA from 1 species
CACAUGGUGGAUGCCUUGGCGCCAGGAGGCGAAGAAGGGCGUAGGAGCCUGCGAUAAGCUCCGGGGAGCUGGCAAACGAGCGUUAAUCCGGAGAUGCCCGAAUGGGGAAACCCGGUUCCGGUCAUGCGGGACCACUGGCUUCGGCCAGAGCCAACGCAGGGAACUGAAACAUCUCAGUACCUGUAGGAAAGAAAAUCAAUUGAGACUCCCUGAGUAGUGGCGAGCGAAAGGGGACGAGCCUAAACCGGUCCAGUGUAAGCGUGCAAGCGUUGCUGGAGUGGGGUUGUAGGGGUUUCUGAGGUGUUUUUGCACAGACACCGGGAAGUGACAAAGCGCUGUCGUAGGAGAGCCAGUUGGAAAGCCGGGGCAAAGAGGGUGACACCCCCGUAUCCGAAACGAGAGCGCCUUCCUAUGAGACACCCUGAGUACCGUGGGGCACGUGGAACCCCCGCGGGAAUCUGGGAGGACCAUCUUCCAAGGCUAAGUACUACCUGGCGACCG